UCCCUCUCAGGGUUGCACCUGGAGAGUUUCCAGUCCUCUACCAGUCACGACUACCGGAGGGAGAGUCAAGCAGAGGCUUUCCGUACCAUUCCUAGCUUGGCCAGGGGCUAGCGAGUGGAAGGCAAUCUGCUACAAGU